GCAUAUCAAUAAGCGGAGGAAAAGAAACAACCGGGAAUUCCCUAGGUAGCGGCGAGCGAAGCGGGAAGAGCUCAAAUUUAUAAUCUGGCACCUUCGGUGUCCGAGUUGUAAUCUCUAGAAAUGUUUUCCGCGUUGGACCGCACACAAGUCUGUUGGAAUACAGCGGCAUAGUGGUGAGACCCCCGUAUAUGGUGCGGACGCCCAGCGCUUUGUGAUACAUUUUCGAAGAGUCGAGUUGUUUGGGAAUGCAGCUCAAAUUGGGUGGUAAAUUCCAUCUAAAGCUAAAUAUUGGCGAGAGACCGAUAGCGAACAAGUACCGUGAGGGAAAGAUGAAAAGCACUUUGGAAAGAGAGUUAACAGUACGUGAAAUUGUUGGAAGGGAAACGCUUGAAGUCAGACUUGCUUGCCGAGCAAUCGGUUUGCAGGCCAGCAUCAGUUUUCCGGGAUGGAUAAUGGUAAAGAGAAGGUAGCAGUUUCGGCUGUGUUAUAGCUCUCUACUGGAUACAUCCUGGGGGACUGAGGAACGCAGUGUGCCUUUGGCGGGGGUUUCGACCUCUUCACACUUAGGAUGCUGGUGGAAUGGCUUUAAACGACCCGUCUUGAAACACGGACC
rnacentral:rRNA from 1 species